rnacentral:lncRNA from 1 species
AAAACAGCAAACUUUCAGUUUGGGGAAAUACACAUCCUCGCCGGGAGCCCUGGCACAGCCCGGGCUCGCCGGAGCCGGCCGCGCUGCCUUUGCAGGCGCAGGACGUGCAGAGCAUUAACAGUUUUGGCCAGAAAUGGUGAGAAGAAAAAGCAUGAAGAAGCCGCGAAGUGGAGGAGAAAAGGUGAAGGGAGAUGCAGCUCCUGGAGAAAUUGUAAAAAAAGCCUUGCAAAGAGUUGUCGGAAGGACCGUUAUUCCUGCUGGGCAGGAGCGAGAGGAGAGACCCUGAAACACACGCCACCUAUCUUUGUGGGGAGGGAUAAUUGAAGAGCACCAAACAUAUGGAUCAGGGGUGAGAUGGGCUCUCUUCCUGCCUCUCUCCGCUCCUUGGGAAGCGGCUAGACAGGCAAAGAGACAAGAGCGGACAAGCAGGCGAGUGGUACUGAACUUCGGGGAGGUUACAAGUUUUUCACCUUUUUAAAGUAUUAAAAUUAAAAUAAAAUUGCAUAUUAGAACA